rnacentral:rRNA from 1 species
GAUGAACGCUGGCGGCGUGCUUAACACAUGCAAGUCGAACGAUGAUCCGGUGCUUGCACCGGGGAUUAGUGGCGAACGGGUGAGUAACACGUGAGUAACCUGCCCUUGACUCUGGGAUAAGCCUGGGAAACCGGGUCUAAUACCGGAUAUGACUCCUCAUCGCAUGGUGGGGGGUGGAAAGCUUUAUUGCGGUUUUGGAUGGACUCGCGGCCUAUCAGCUUGUUGGUGAGGUAAGGCUCACCAAGGCGACGACGGGUAGCCGGCCUGAGAGGGUGACCGGCCACACUGGGACUGAGACACGGCCCAGACUCCUACGGGAGGCAGCAGUGGGGAAUAUUGCACAAUGGGCGCAAGCCUGAUGCAGCGACGCCGCGUGAGGAUGAC